UGGGGAAUAUUGGGCAAUGGGGGAAACCCUGACCCAGCAACGCCGCGUGAAGGAAGAAGGCCUUCGGGUUGUAAACUUCUUUUACCAGGGACGAAAAAGAUGACGGUACCUGGAGAAAAAGCAACGGCUAACUACGUGCCAGCAGCCGCGGUAAUACGUAGGUUGCAAGCGUUGUCCGGAUUUACUGGGUGUAAAGGGCGUGUAGGCGGAGAUGCAAGUUGGGAGUGAAAUCCAUGGGCUCAACCCAUGAACUGCUCUCGAAACUGUAUCCCUUGAGUAUCGGAGAGGCAAGCGGAAUUCCUAGUGUAGCGGUGAAAUGCGUAGAUAUUAGGAGGAACACCAGUGGCGAAGGCGGCUUGCUGGACGACAACUGACGCUGAGGCGCGAAAGCGUGGGGAGCAAACAGG
rnacentral:rRNA from 1 species